rnacentral:rRNA from 1 species
UACGUAGGAUGCGAGCGUUAUCCGGAAUUACAGGGUGUAAAGGGAGCGCAGGCGGGACUGCAAGUUGGAUGUGAAAUGCCGCAGCUUAACUGCGGAGCUGCAUCCAAAACUGUAGUUCUUGAGUGGAGUAGAGGCAAGCGGAAUUCCGAGUGUAGCGGUGAAAUGCGUAGAUAUUCGGAGGAACACCAGUGGCGAAGGCGGCUUGCUGGGCUCUAACUGACGCUGAGGCUCGAAAGUGUGGGGAGCAAACAGG